rnacentral:sRNA from 1 species
GCCGGGUGUGGUGGCACACACCUGUAAUCCCAGUGGCUCAGGAGGCUGAGGCAGGAGGACCACGAGUUCAAAGCCAGCCUCAG